rnacentral:lncRNA from 1 species
GGUGACAGAGGAUACCAAAUGUCAUGUCAAGUAUUGUUUUUAAUAAAUAAGUUUAACCAAUUUCUGUCCUUUAAUUAAGGGUGUAAAAGGAAACACUGGUCCACCUGGAGCUUGUGGUCGAACAGAGUAUUAUGAUGUAGUUGGUGAAAAAGGUGAUGAAGGACCACCUGGACCUCCAGGACCAAAAGGGCAACGUGGCAUACCUGGGCCACAGGGUCCUCCUGGAGAUGCUGGUAGACCAGGGUUGUCAAGACCUGGUCUGAGGGGUCCCCCAGGAUUUCCUGGGCCAAAAGGAGCAAAAGGAGAAAAAGGACAGGUGGGCUUGUGUAUUGUAGGCCCUCCAGGACUGCCUGGGAUAACUGGAAGAAUUGGUUCUGUUGGAUUGCCAGGUCCUCCAGGAGAACCAGGUGAUGCUUCAUUAUUGUAUACACAAUGAACAACAAUGAAUUUAGAGUCAUCUCCAUAUCUAACUAAUUAGAUUAUAUAAAUACGUAAGAAUGGAGUGUAUAUUGAGUUAUACAACAUAAUUUUUCCUUGGAAAUUUCUUGAAAAUUAAAAAGCAUGCAAAGCAAAGGUCUGCUUCAUUGUUAAUGAAGUUCUGGGGAGAAGGUAUUGUGACUUCCUAGGUUGAAAAUUUUUCACUUUUUUGUAUAACUAUGACUAAAAACUUCUAUAUAAUCACAGGAAGGACUAAUGAGAGAAAAUCUGUUCUUAAGAUUAGCUUUUCCAAAAUCUACAGAAUUUCUGUAAGACUACCUUCAGAAAGGGCUGUUCUAAAAGUUAGAGAGAUCAUACAGAUACCUGCAUAGGUCUUGCUAGGCAUUAGAGCUGGUUUGAAGUUCUGACAGCAUGAAAACAAAAUAGUAGCAAAGUAAUAGAUGAACCAAUUGAUUAGAUGCAGUUUACAACACUUCUAGAAAGUGUAUUAACCAAGAAAAUAUCUUUAAGAACCAGCAUCAUGUUUUCUUUACAUAUGGUAUUGCUUACACAAGUCCUUUUCUGAUAUGAUGCUUCUAUUUUCUCUCUUAAAAACAUCUAUCCUGCAAAUGUAUUGCUCUGUGUAUCUUCUGUCUUUUCCAGAGUGAUAGUAAAUACACCAGAAUAAUUCUGACAAAAAUACUUGAACAGCAUUAAUAAUCUACAAUUAAAAUUAAAGUUUCCA